GUCCGGUGCGGAGUGCCCUUCGUCCUGGGAA
rnacentral:piRNA from 1 species